AAGGAAGGAAGGAAGGAAGGAAGGAAGGAAGGAAGGAAGGAAGGAAGGAAGGAAGGAAGGAAACUAACUCCUAAUCUCUAAUGAGAAGAUCAAAUACAAGGUUACUUAGAUCUUAAAAGCACAUUGCUCUGGACAAAUUUUAAUGUGUACUACUACAGUGGUAGUCUGAGUUUACUUUGGAAGCUAUUCCAGGUUUGUCAGGCACCAGGACUACACAGUAAGAUUCUGUCUCAGAACAACAAAAUCCUAGUACUUGGGAGCUACAGGCAAAGAAUCCAAGAUUAGCUGUACUCAAUCCAAGGCCAGCUGGACUACAUCUGAUCCUGCCUCAGUACAAUAGAAAAAAAUUGAGGUCAUAUACACUUUAGUUGAAUCCAUGCCCUUGUUUUAAUUACUUAGUAAUCUAGAAUGAUUUUGACUCUACACACAAUUCUUACAAGUCGAUACAGUCCACACUGAAGCAUCUUUAAGCUCCUUCUUUCACUGUCUAAAUAUUCACUAAGCGUGUAGUUGUUGGUAGAAAUCAUGCUACACGUCGGGAUUGUGUACAUUCAAGCAGCAGAGUUUUCCCACAUCAUAGUGAUGUAAGAGGAAUUUGGUAUUGACUGCCUAAGGAGCUGCUCUGACACCCGUUCUCCUUUUUUUUAAAUGAGAUAGCCUGGAGGUUAGCUCAGUGCAGAGCAGUGCAAGGCCCUGGCAUCCUCUGGAACACCACUAAAAAGAGGCAGAAACCACAUCCAGCUGAUCAGUGACAAGUUUUCAGAGGUGAGAAUUUCAGUUCAGUGUUCAGAAACAACAAGUAGCCACAGGGAGUACAUUAACUAUUUUCCUGACUUUUCAGCAGUGGCCAGACCAACUAGGGAAAAAUGGUUGUUAUAUUAACUCGCAGGAAGAGAGGUUCUUUCUUCCUUUUCAGUCUUAGGCAUUGAAAUUGACCUCGGGCCUUGGGCAUACUAAGCAUACAGUACCACUGAGCUACAUAUUCAUAAAGUCCUAGCCCCUUUGAUUUCAGAAUAAAACGUUUUGGUUUUCUUCUCAGUUUUUAAACAUACUCUUAUAUAAAAUAACCUUGACCAGCCUCAAAUUGCUGGUCCUCCUGCCUCUACUAAGCACUGGGGAUCACAGCUGUGCACCAGCUUUGAAAUAACUUAAACUUAACUUCUUGCCACCUUUAUUGUUCCAUCCCACUGUGUGUGACUGGAUCAAAGUGUUUUCUAAGACUUAUUUCUUAUUUUAUGCAUAUGACCGUUUGCCUGCACGUGCACCAUAUGCACGCGUGGCGUCUGAGGAAGCCAGAGGAAGCUUCAGAGCCCCUGGGACUGACGUCAGAGAGGGUUACAAGACACUAUGCUGGGGCCAGGAACUAAAACCCAGGUCCUCUGCAGGCGCAGCCAGUGCUCCUAAGCACUGCACAUCUUCCCAGCCACGGCACGUGACGUACAGUCCAGCUCUUGAGAGGUCUGGGAGGCAAGGGAGAUGGGGAGUUGAAAGUCAUCCUCAGCUAUGUAGAGUUUGAGAUCAGCCUGGGGUCAUGCAGGAAACUCAGCUCAAAAAAAGUUUGUGUGAAUUUAAUAUAAUACAUAAAUAUGACUGUUGCAAAUUACUCUUUGCCCAAUUAGUUAGAUACAUAUGUUUAAAUCUACCAUAUUGUGAGACACAUUGGCUUAAGUGCUUAGUCUUAUCAGGGAGGCAGAGGCAGAUCUCAAGGCCAGCCAGGUUUACAGUGAGUUCUAGGCUAGCCAAGGCUACACAGUGAGACCCUGUCUUUUUUUUUUUCUAAAGCAAGCACAAACAAAAGCUAUGCAGUUAAACCCUAUAAUAGAUGUUCCCUUACUCCAUGAUAGGACUGGGAUCCCGGGUUAGACUUCUCACCUCAGCCUUGCGCUGACUUUGCCUCCAUAUCCUUGUGACAGUGCUCAUCCCAGUUAAUGCUCUACCCUCAGGGCCUCGUGGCUCUGUCACCCUUCCGAAGCCACAGAGGACUGUAGAUACCCAAAAGAUUCUCUGGGAAUGUAAACAUUUGAAACUUUCGGGCUAGUUCAUGGUGUAUCCCUACAUUUCACCCAACAGGCAUUUUGUGGUAGAAGCUUCUGCAUCAAGCCGACUGAGUGAUCAGGGGCCUACAAGAUGUCUCAGCAGGCAGAGGCACUCACAGCCAGGGUUACAACCUGAACUCAGUGUUGGAAGCAGAGAACUGUCUCCCAACAGUUACCCUCUGACCAGCCUCAGGCCAGAGCCCCCCCCCACACACACACACACACACGUGUGUGGCAGGGAGUCACUUGGUAGUGGAUCCAAUUAACUUAGAAUCUUUUAUUGCCCAGGCACACCACGUCCUCUCUUUAUUAACUAGUCUGUUUCUCUUUUCUUUUAUGUAUGUAGUUGUUUUACCUGCAUGGAUGUGUGCUACAUCUGUUCAGUGCUUGUAGAGGUCAGAAGAAGGGUCCAGAUACCUGGAACAGGAGUUACAGGUGGUUCUGGGCUGCCGUGUGGGUGCUGGCAGAGCAGCCUGUGUUCUUGCUUGUUACGCCAUCUUUCCAGCCACCACUUAGCAUUUGUCCCAGAGUGUCAUUGGAUUUAGCUUGCUCCAGUAAACGAUUGUGUGAAGGCAUAUUCAGGCUCUGCCCGUGGCAACAUGAGAAGAUCACCUAAACAUGUUAAGGAAGUUGGAGUUUUCAUUAUAUAUCAUUUUUUAAUGAAAACUUAGACUUUAGUUUGUGAAGGGAAAUAUUAUAGGUCCCUCAAUAAGAUAAAUCACAAAGUGAAAAUUUAAUCUUUAUCGCCAACAGUAGAUUAAUAGGGGAAAAAGCCUUUUUCUUUUUUCUUUUUCAUUUUUAUAUGUGUGAAUACACUGUCACUGUCUUCAGACACACCAGAAGAGUGCAUCAGGUCAUGUUAUAGAUGUUUGUGAGCCACCAUGUGGUUGCUGGGAAUUGAACUCAGGACCUCUGGAAGAACAGUCAGUGCUCUUAACCACUGAGCCAUUUCUCCAGCCCUUUUAUUCUUUUAAAUAGACAGCAAAGUUUAUUUUUGAACAUUGCUGACCUAUUCAUUUCCAGACUGGAGGGUAGUUUUGUGUUUUUAUUUUUCUGUUUUUUGAAACAGAGUGUCUGUGCUAUCCUGGAAUAGCUUUAUAGACCAGGCUGGCCUCAAACUCUCUAGAGAUCUAUCUGCCUCUGCCUGGGAUCAAAGAUGUGUGUCACCACCACUGGUUGCAUCUUAUUUUCUUAAGGUCCUUAUACACAUCAUAGCUGGACCGUUUCUCCAUUAACAAGCAACCACAUUGCAUUAAAAAUUAGCAAGAGUCCAGGUGUGGCAAGGUCACUCAGUGGUUGGAGCUCUUGGCUGCUCUUUUAGAGGCUCGAUUUUAAUUUCCAACACCCACAUGUCGGCUCACAGUCCUCUAUAAUUGUCCUAUGGGAUUCAAUGUCCUUUUCUGGUGUGCAGCUAUACAUGCAGACAAAGCACUCAUAUACACACACUACAUAAAUAAGUCCUGAAAAUUAGCAUUUUUCUGCUUACUCAAGAACCCGUUGGCGUUCAAACUCAGUGGAAAGAGACCUAGAGAAAGUGAGCCAGGGUUGGCUGAAUUUUCCAGUAGUGACGCCUCUUUCAAUCCUUCUUGCUUUUUAUUACCUGUGAGGUCAGCUUUUCAAACUUGUUUAAUCCCUCCCUGAAAGUACUCUCUGAGCUGGGGAUGGCGGGAAGAGGAGUUGCAUGGCUCUCUCCCCUUGUUGGCAAAUGUAUUGGAGUCACUGGGUCACGCCUUGCGUGUCUUGUUCUCUAAACCUGCCCUUUGCAGUCAGGUGCUAAUAACUGCGUUUUUAUCAAAACCAGCAGAUAUUAUUGCUGCACACCUAGUCCUAUAGGACCAAAGAAGGGCUUUCCUUCUGUGGAGUCCUCGGUUAACAGUGGGUAUUUUCACAUCUUUUUGCUGGUGUUUUCUGAAUCAGUGGGAUUGGGGAGAGAGAAAAGCUGAGGUCUGCGGAAUCACGGCCUCCCAAAUCCUCACUUAGCACCCCAGGCACUGGGUUCAGCUCUCCUCCCUCGGUUGGGAUGCCACCCGUAUUGUCAGUCGCCUGGUGAGGUAAGUUGCAGUCCCCGGAGCCCCAAUAAUCCCUCUUCCUAGUGCCAGAUCUGAAGUCUUACAAAGCAUAACCUAUUUUUUUUCUUCUGUGUACCCUCUGCUAAUCCCCACGUGUAUGUAUUCUUUCUUGCACUACUCAUUUUUGUUAAGUGUAAAGACUUAGAAAGCUAGCUCAAGUAAGGCUGGUGAUUAGCUCAUUUGGAAGGACACUUGCCUCAGGAAGCCCUGAGUUCUAUCCACAGCACCAUAGAAAACCAGAUGUGGCUGGCCACAUCUGUAAACCCAGCAUUCAUUUGGAAGGUGGGAGGCAGGAAGAAGUCAUCCAUAGUUACAUAGUAAAUAACAAGCCAGCUCAGGUCUGUGGACCUGCCCCUCAAAACAGGCAAACCCAAAAACCUCAACAACAGAAAGCCUGUUUGUACCAAUUGAUUGUUUUGGUAUUGGUGUUGGUUUUUUUUUUUUUUCUUUUUAGAAUCCUUUAUUUAAAUAAGACCUCUAUUCAAGUCUUAUUUAAAAUUUCUCAAAUCUUCUGGCUACCAAAUCAAAGACCCAUGAUAUAAAACAGAGCAGUAUGUGUUCUUAUUUUUUACAAAGCUUUAUGUAUAUUCUCUCAAUAUAGAUGCUUAGACAACACUUCCCUUGAGUUGCACAUCGACAUAUAGCAUUGUAUAUUACAAUGAAAAUUUGUAACUUAAGGGUAUUUUAUAUAUAUAUAUAUAUAUACAUAUACAUAUAUAUAAGUAUAUAUUCCUUUGUAACCUUUUUAUUGUAAAUAAAAAGUUGCUUUU
rnacentral:lncRNA from 1 species